rnacentral:lncRNA from 1 species
CUGUCUAUAGCUCUGUGUCGGGAAGGCUGCCUCCUUUUUGUGGAAUGGGAGCUGAAUGGGAGCCCUGUCCCUGUCUGUUGACAGCUCUACCUGUGACUGCAGAUGGCGUGUUUCAUGGACUGGAAAUGCACGCAGGUGGCAUCUGAGAAUUCCUGGUGAGCAGGGACUUGGGGUCAGAGCAGCCCGGUCCCCGACUUACCCUGACACCCUUACGUACCCUAAGCCACAGACUCUUCCCCUGCAUCAGAUGGGGCUGGGGUACCUCCUUACUCAUUCCCUUACUCAUUCAGCCUGUCCAUCUGCUUUUAUGAAGACAGCAGCCUUCCCGGAUUCCUGACCCCUAGAAACGGUGAGGUUGUAAACGUUUAUUGUUCUAAGCUGAGGACUUUUGUUGGAGUGAUUUAUUAUACAGCAAUAGCUUAACCCCGAGCCACAUCCUCUGCCCACUGAGCUCUUAGGAUCAGGGAAGAAAACAAACAGGGAAACCUAAAUAUUAUAUAAGAAAGCAGGUCAACUUCAUACAAAGCACGUGGCCCGGAUACGGGAGAGCUCGAUUCUUAUUUCACAGGGUCAAACAAUGAAUCUCGAGGACCCCUGACAACGGGCAAAAUGAUAGAAAUAUAUUAAGCAAAGAUGCAGAGAAAACCCUCAGAAGUGAGACGGGUCCUGACAGCCUGGCCACUGAGGGCUUUUAUGGGCAGCCCGGGUGGCUCAGUGGUUUAGCACCUGCCUUCGGCCCAGGGCAUGAUCCUGGAGUCCUGGGAUCGAGUCCUGCGUCAGGCUCCCUGCAUGGAGCCUGCUUCUCCCUCUGCCUGUGUCUCUGCCUCUCUCUCUCUGUCUCUCAUUCAUAAAUAAAUAAAUAAAUAAAUAAAUAAAUAAAUAAAUA